AAAUCGGCGAGAAAAUGGCGUCAAAGUUGAGUCAUUUCUUUAGCUCGAGAGUCCGGGGAAACUGAAAAUGUGAUCAUUUCUUCUGCCUUUAAUCAACGUUUUUCAGUAAAAUCCACACAGAAAUGUGCUCUUUAUUGGACAUGGAAGGUGCUGAACUAAAAAACAAAAGUUCGAUAAAAAUUCCCUAACUUGCGGGAAAAAGCCAAAAUCUUGACUUUCGUUAUUUUGACGAGCGCCUGAUUUCACCACACUGCCUCACAAUGACGCAUUGGCAUUUCCCACAGAGCAACUACAAAAGACUGUGGAAGCUUCUCAAGCCGAGGCUGCAGCAAGGGCGAAAGUAGCGGAGGAGGCAAGACUCCGGAAGGAGAGAGAGCAGAGGGAAAAGGAAAGGAAGGAGGAAAAACAGAAGAAAGAGGAGGCAAAGAAGCAGCAGCUCACGGGCGGAGGAAAAUGAGGAGGAGUUGUGUUCUCUAGAUUCCUUCUUUUUCAGUUCUAUUUAUUAAUGUGCCCUAUUUUCCCGGGCUAGAGGGUGCAUUGUUUGCUAACUUAAUGAUAAUAAUAAUGAAGAUCAUUUCUAUAGCGCCCACUCUCGUGUGAAUAACACAGCUCUAGACGCUUUACAUAAAGUUGAUACAAAUAUUGAUAAUAUUAUUGUACUGUAAUACAUGUCUACCUGUAUUUAUAUUGCUGACUUAUUUGUCCUCCAUUUCCUCAUAAUAAAUUUAAAAAUUACACGUUAUUUUUCUUUAUAUUAUUAGGCUAUAAUUGUGUUAAGAGAGAAAAAAAAAAACUUGUUCAUUUCACAACUGUAUUUUAACAAAUUUGCUUCGUUCUCUAAUAAUAAUAAAAACUGGAGAAAGAC